rnacentral:rRNA from 1 species
UACGUAGGGUGCGAGCGUUGUCCGGAAUUAUUGGGCGUAAAGAGCUCGUAGGCGGCUUGUCACGUCGGAUGUGAAAGCCCGGGGCUUAACCCCGGGUCUGCAUUCGAUACGGGCAGGCUAGAGUGUGGUAGGGGAGAUCGGAAUUCCUGGUGUAGCGGUGAAAUGCGCAGAUAUCAGGAGGAACACCGGUGGCGAAGGCGGAUCUCUGGGCCAUUACUGACGCUGAGGAGCGAAAGCGUGGGGAGCGAACAGG